UUUUUUCUCCCUCCGGCCGGCCCCGGCCAAAAAUCUGGUUCAAUUCCAAAUCGUGCGCGCUGACCAGGUUCCUUCUAACCUUGGCUCCCCAAAAAUCCUCCACACACACGGACACACCAGCUACGCAGCUAUGGCGACGGCUCGCGCCGUCUUCUCCCGGGGGCGCACCCUCUGGCGGCGGCGGCGCCUUCUCUCGGGGGCGCACCCUCUCGCGGCGACGCCUCCUUCUCCCGGGGACUCGCCCUCUCGCGGCGACUCCUCCUUCUCUGGCGCCCUCAAAGGCUCCUGCUCUGAAUCCUGGGAUCGCCAAUAUUUAAUGUUUACUUGGACAACAUCGAGAGUUCCUUGAGGACGUCAUUCAAUGGAGUCAGACAGUACUUCAAAUUGAUCCUCCAAAGAGACAAUGUGCAACUCCCAGAGGGAAAAUUGGUGACUCAUCCCAAGGGUUGGAUCAUUUUAAGGAUCAGCCCUUCGGCAUCCUCUCAUGACUACUCAGAGUCAGUAUAUGCACUGUACAGAACACAUGAUAUGUACUUGGAUAGCAUCGUGGCAAAUCAUGUUUGCUACAGGUUCAGUGAUCACGAUCGUUCCAUGUUAUUACCCAAGGAGUUAUGCAAAAAGGGUACACUCAUAAUGGCACAGAUGUCAAAAUACCCUAAUUUGGGUUUUAAUCCCAAAGCACGUGGCCAGAUAACCGUCGGAGAUGAUGUUAUUAGAGGACAUUACCAGGUGCUCUUAGGCAUUGCUAAUAUGGAUCUGUCUCAGGAAGAAAGUGUUGACAUCAGCUUGAAAGAGGCCCUUCUCUUCUUUGUUCUGCUAGCCGAAGCUCUACGGUUUCCCGAGCUCGAAAAGUGGUUACUAAAUAUCUUGGCAAAGAAGAUGGAAAUGUCAGUCCCGGUUAGUAUAACCAAGCUCUUCAACAAAUGGGGAACGCUCUCCCAGAUUCUUCAUAAAGGCAGAGAAAAGUUCAAUGACGAUAUUACUGAUAAGAUGCUGAAGAAUAAAUGUAAAACAUUUAAUGAUGUAUGUUCCAAGUUAGGAAUAGCGAACAGAAUCAACUUGGGCAAAUUGGAGAAAAAGAAGAAGAAGAAGAACAGGCUCUAAGGUCAUCAUAGAUGUUACAAAGCUGGUCCAUAUUUAGCUGUUGAGCAAGGCCUUCAGCAGGCAUGUUAAUAAUGUUGAGCUUCGUCUCUCUAUAUAGCGUCUGUCCGUCUUGAGUCUACAUAGGUACAGCUUCUGAAUCAUCCAUGCUGCUGCUUCAAAGUGCAAAGCUUUGUCAUUCAGAAAUAUGGGCCAGCUUUAUAGGUUCAGCUUGGACAAGUGUCAAAAAUCUGUUGGGGAAAACAAGUGUUUUGAUCCAUGAAUGGAAGAUUCUGUGCAAAGGAAGUCAAUUGGUACUGCUGCAACGCUAUGUACUACUUCUCGACCGUCGAAGAAGCAAGCUGCUGAGAAUUGCCUGCCGUUGAAGGCACAAAAAGGGGCCUUCCUGCGAGCCCACUCCGGGUGAUGUUCCUGUAACAAAAAUGGGAGGAAAAAGAUGUAACAGUUACGCGUGACCUUUGCUAUUUUGCUGUUGAAGCUGUCUGUUUUGUUGUGAGGUGUAACCUGGUAAAUGUUCUUGUUUGGUGAGGGGGUCUGACCCAGCUACUUUAGCUCAGCUGGAGCGCUGGGAACAGUUCUUUUGGUUUUGCUUUGUGGCCUCGUGUUAAUAAAAAUGAGGUGGGGGGAAACCCCUUUUUGUAAAACAAAAAAAUGAUUUGGCAAUACAAAUUGCUUUAGAGGUUGCUCUUUGUCCUGUACAUGGUUUGGCAAUAUAUACACCUUUAAUAUGAUUCA